rnacentral:rRNA from 1 species
AUUCUCAGUUCGGAUUGUAGGCUGAAACUCGCCUACAUGAAGCUGGAGUUACUAGUAAUCGCAGAUCAGAAUGCUGCGGUGAAUGCGUUCCCGGGUCUUGUACACACCGCCCGUCACACCACGGAAGUUGGGGGCGCCCGAAGCCACUUAGCUAACCCUUUUGGGAAGCGAGUGUCGAAGGUGAAAUCAAUAACUGGGGUGAAGUCGUAACAAGGUAAC